GAUGAACGCUGGCGGCGUGCCUAAUACAUGCAAGUCGAGCGAACGGACGAGAAGCUUGCUUCUCUGAUGUUAGCGGCGGACGGGUGAGUAACACGUGGAUAACCUACCUAUAAGACUGGGAUAACUUCGGGAAACCAGAGCUAAUACAGGAUAAUAUUUUGAACCGCAUGGUUCAAAAGUGAAAGACGGUCUUGCUGUCACUUAUAGAUGGAUCCGCGCUGCAUUAGCUAGUUGGUAAGGUAACGGCUUACCAAGGCAACGAUGCAUAGCCGACCUGAGAGGGUGAUCGGCCACACUGGAACUGAGACACGGUCCAGACUCCUACGGGAGGCAGCAGUAGGGAAUCUUCCGCAAUGGGCGAAAGCCUGACGGAGCAACGCCGCGUGAGUGAUGAAGGUCUUCGGAUCGUAAAACUCUGUUAUUAGGGAAGAACAUAUGUGUAAGUAACUGUGCACAUCUUGACGGUACCUAAUCAGAAAGCCACGGCUAACUACGUGCCAGCAGCCGCGGUAAUACGUAGGUGGCAAGCGUUAUCCGGAAUUAUUGGGCGUAAAGCGCGCGUAGGCGGUUUUUUAAGUCUGAUGUGAAAGCCCACGGCUCAACCGUGGAGGGUCAUUGGAAACUGGAAAACUUGAGUGCAGAAGAGGAAAGUGGAAUUCCAUGUGUAGCGGUGAAAUGCGCAGAGAUAUGGAGGAACACCAGUGGCGAAGGCGACUUUCUGGUCUGUAACUGACGCUGAUGUGCGAAAGCGUGGGGAUCAAACAGGAUUAGAUACCCUGGUAGUCCACGCCGUAAACGAUGAGUGCUAAGUGUUAGGGGGUUUCCGCCCCUUAGUGCUGCAGCUAACGCAUUAAGCACUCCGCCUGGGGAGUACGACCGCAAGGUUGAAACUCAAAGGAAUUGACGGGGACCCGCACAAGCGGUGGAGCAUGUGGUUUAAUUCGAAGCAACGCGAAGAACCUUACCAAAUCUUGACAUCCUUUGACAACUCUAGAGAUAGAGCUUUCCCCUUCGGGGGGCAAAGUGACAGGUGGUGCAUGGUUGUCGUCAGCUCGUGUCGUGAGAUGUUGGGUUAAGUCCCGCAACGAGCGCAACCCUUAAGCUUAGUUGCCAUCAUUAAGUUGGGCACUCUAAGUUGACUGCCGGUGACAAACCGGAGGAAGGUGGGGAUGACGUCAAAUCAUCAUGCCCCUUAUGAUUUGGGCUACACACGUGCUACAAUGGACAAUACAAAGGGCAGCGAAACCGCGAGGUCAAGCAAAUCCCAUAAAGUUGUUCUCAGUUCGGAUUGUAGUCUGCAACUCGACUACAUGAAGCUGGAAUCGCUAGUAAUCGUAGAUCAGCAUGCUACGGUGAAUACGUUCCCGGGUCU
rnacentral:rRNA from 1 species